rnacentral:lncRNA from 13 species
GAAACAUCAGAAUUCAACGAGAAGACGUCCAUAGAGCAAUUCGAAGGAAUCUGGAAAGGGAAUGCAACAACAACAGUGACAACUAGGGAGAAACCGUAGAAUCGAUCAUCCAGAAGACCUGAAUGCCGGAAGGGAAUUAGCAGACUAUUCAUCGCCUUCGGUGUCGAUUCUUCCGGUAAAGGAAUUAGAAGAAUCGCUCCCUCGCCAUUGCGGUUCCGAAAUGACGGGAAGGACCGAGGGACUCGAUCUCUACAAUUCAGCCCACGACCAAGACGUCUAUUUGCCGAUUUCUUAUCCGGAAGGAGAACGAUGUUGCUGCUACUGCUUGCCGCCGCUGGGUAAGUAUAAUUAAGGCCAAGAGAAAUUGAUCGUCCGCGCAUGUUUGCGUCCCGACGAGUGGCCACAUUAUCCGACGCCUCCUUUCUUCCUCAAAAUGUCAGAUUUCACCAGCCUCACUGUUGGCUUCUCCAUUGUUCUCGCGAGUUUGUAGCAGCGCGCGCAUUCACACACCAGCGCAUUUGACACGAUCUUAGAAAUCUUUCUUUCGCGCGAGAUAAAUAUACUAGCUGCUGCUACAACGAUGUAACCACUUUAAAAGGACGUUGCUUGUAUUUUACAAAGUCUAAGUAUCGCAAAUAUUUUAAUGUCCGAAGUAAUUUGGAUGUUAUAUAUCUUUUCUAUUUCCACAACGACGAUUCAAUUAAAUACCAUUUUAUCAUUUCACGUUCCAAGGAAUUGGAUUCUUAUCAUUCUCAUUUUUGGCAUACGUGCGCAGCAUUCAGUCUCUCGUAUACGAAAAAAAAAAUUUUCUCAUGUUCACAUAAAU